rnacentral:rRNA from 1 species
GAUGAACGCUGGCGGCGUGCCUAAUACAUGCAAGUCGAGCGAACAGACGAGGAGCUUGCUCCUCUGACGUUAGCGGCGGACGGGUGAGUAACAAGUGGAUAACCUACCUAUAAGACUGGGAUAACUUCGGGAAACCGGAGCUAAUACCGGAUAAUAUAUUGAACCGCAUGGUUCAAUAGUGAAAGACGGUUUUGCUGUCACUUAUAGAUGGAUCCGCGCAGCAUUAGCUAGUUGGUAAGGUAACGGCUUACCAAGGCAACGAUGCGUAGCCGACCUGAGAGGGUGAGCGGCCAAACGGGAACUGAGACACGGCCCAGACUCCUACGGGAGGCAGCAGUAGGGAAUCUUCCGCAAUGGGGGAAAGCCUGACGGAGCAACGCCGCGUGAGUGAUGAAGGUCUUCGGAUCGGAAAACUCUGUUAUUAGUGAAGAACAAAUGUGUAAGUAACUAUGCACGUCUUGACGGUACCUAAUCAGAAAGCCACGGCUAACUACGUG